rnacentral:misc_RNA from 1 species
UGGUUCUGGCAUCGAUGAAGAACGCAGCGAAAUGCGAUAAGUAAUGUGAAUUGCAGAAUUCAGUGAAUCAUCGAAUCUUUGAACGCACAUUGCGCCCGCCAGUAUUCUGGCGGGCAUGCCUGUCCGAGCGUCAUUUCAACCCUCAGGCCUCCCUUCGCGGGAGGGCUGGUGUUGGGGACCGGCCGCCCUCAGCGGUGGCCGCCCCCGAAAUACAGUGGCGGUCUCGCCGCAGCCUCCCCUGCGUAGUAGCACACCUCGCACCGGAGAGCGGCGCGGCCAUGCCGUGAAACCCCCCACUAUACCAAAGGUUGACCUCGGAUCAGGUAGGAAUACCCGCUGA